UACAGAGACUGCAAGCGUUAUUCGGAUUCACUGGGCGUAAAGGGUGCGCAGGCGGCCGGGUGUGUGAGGCAUGAAAGCCCGAUGCUUAACAUCGGAAUUGCACCUCAAACUACACGGCUAGAGCAUUGGAGAGGGUAGCGGAAUUCACGGUGUAGCAGUGAAAUGCGUAGAUAUCGUGAGGAACACCAGAGGCGAAGGCGGCUACCUGGACAAUUGCUGACGCUCAGGCACGAAAGCGUGGGGAGCAAAAGGG
rnacentral:rRNA from 1 species